rnacentral:lncRNA from 1 species
AAAUAGUUCAAUUUCGACCCUGAUUUGGACCAACUUGAAAACUGGGUACCAAAAUCAUAAAUCUAAAUAUAUGUUUAUGAAUAGACAAUAUAAGCUUAGUAUUUUAAAGAGUUCUCUUCAUCAAAAAAAAAAAAAAUAUACCAUUCAGAAAAUUAGCUUAUACAGCAUAACAAACAAACCUACCACAAAAUUAUUCAAAAAUUUCACCUAAGAAAAAGAAAUAAAAUUCAAAUGUCAUUUAUCAUUAUUACAAUGUCUUACAAAUCUAUAAAACUUAUCUGUAAUUAUCUUUAAAAUGUCUUAUAAUGAACAGUAAAUUUAAACAAUAUUUAUACCCUCCUACAGAGUUUAUCAUCAUUAACCUACACUCCUGCCAUAUAUCACCAAAUCAAUAACCCAUUUUCCCCCUUUGAAAAUCAAGAUAACUCCUAAUCCUAGCAAUUUAAUGACUGUUCUUCAUUAUCAAUUUUACUAUCUGAAGUAUGAAACUUCUUAUUUUCAUAGUAAGAGUUUUUGGACAUCCGUCCUUUUUGGCAGUUUUCCUUGUUAAUUAACAUUAAAUAAAAGGAUAGAAAGAUAGUUGGAUUUCAAAGGACGACAUUCUAAGAAACUUUUUAAAAUAACUUGAGAUAAACAAAAGUUACUGUGAUGGAAGAGUAAGGUUUGUAGUUUUCAUUCUAGUGUCUUUUAAAAUCUUAAUAUUUUGUAAAC